rnacentral:rRNA from 1 species
GACAGAGGGUGCAAACGUUGUUCGGAUUUACUGGGCGUAAAGCGCGUGUAGGCGGCUUGGCAAGUCGGAUGUGAAAGCCCACGGCUCAACCGUGGAAGCGCAUCCGAAACGGCCUCGCUCGAGUCUCGGAGAGGAAGGUGGAAUGCUUGGUGUAGAGGUGAAGUUCGUAGAUAUCAAGCAGAACACCUGCGGCGAAGGCGGCCUUCUGGACGAUGACUGACGCUGAGACGCGAAAGCGUGGGGAGCAAACAGG